CAAUAGUAACUUUAAUAGAGCCCAACUGGGGUUGCAAAACCCUGCUAUCGCUCCCUAAACUCACAGGUAUUCCGGAAAUCCUGCUAUCUCUCCCAAAACUCACAGGUAUUCCGGAAACCCUGCUAUCGCUCCCUAAACUCACAGGUAUUCCGGAAACCCUGCUAUCGCUCCCUAAACUCACAGGUAUUCCGGAAACCCUGCUAUCUCUCCCAAAACUCACAGGUAUUCCGGAAAUCCUGCUCUCUCUCCCUAAACUCACAGGUAUUCCGGAAAUCCUGCUCUCUCUCCCUAAACUCACAGGUAUUCCGGAAAUCCUGCUCUCUCUCCCUAAACUCACAGGUAUUCCGGAAAUCCUGCUCUCUCUCCCUAAACUCACAGGUAUUCCGGAAAUCCUGCUCUCUCUCCCUAAACUCACAGGUAUUCCGGAAAUCCUGCUAUCUCUCCCAAAACUCACAGGUAUUCCGGAAACCCUGCUAUCUCUCCCUAAACUCACAGGUAUUCCGGAAACCCUGCUAUCUCUCCCUAAACUCACAGGUAUUCCGGAAACCCUGCUAUCUCUCCCAAAACUCACAGGUAUUCCGGAAACCCUGCUAUCUCUCCCAAAACUCACAGGUAUUCCGGAAACCCUGCUAUCUCUCCCAAAACUCACAGGUAUUCCGGAAACCCUGCUAUCUCUCCCAAAACUCACAGGUAUUCCGGAAAUCCUGCUAUCUCUCCCUAAACUCACAGGUAUUCCGGAAAUCCUGCUAUCUCUCCCAAAACUCACAGGUAACUCCUUAAAUCCUGGAUCGAAGAUUCCGGUUUCAUGCUUAAAAUCCCUUCUGAUUCUGUGAAUAUUUCAACCAGGAUUUCUGGAAAACCUGUGAUUUUUGCUAACCGUAGUCCAACACUAGGUUAUUCAGCGAGCUAAGGAAAACAGUUUGUAAUGUAGUAGUUGUAGUAAAUGGUUUUAGCCAGGUAACAUUUAAUUGAUCAUGUCCUGAGAGGCAGACCUGCAACUGGAAAGUCACUGGUUUGAAUCCCAAGUCUGAACGGAACAAUUCUGGUAGGCUUCCGGGUAUCCUAGACGCCGCCUCCUGCUGUUGUGCCCUUGAGCAAGGCACAGAUCCACUAAACUGCUCCAGGGACGCUUCAGUAACGGUGUUUCUCAGGGGUUGAAAAACAAGUUAAAAAAAGGGGCCAUUUUCCCACGACUUCAAAUCGUCGUGUUUCUGUCUGUAGAAAGAUUGUAUUCAAUAUUUUUAAAUAAUAAAAUGUUUGAUUCUUCCAUUUUCUUAAUGUUGGAGUAUAAUUUGACUUCCAGUAUUUAAGUAAAAUAAUAUUGUCCAACCCAUUGGUUAUCUAACGUUAUCUAAUAUGCCAUGUCUUGAAAUAUGCAUAUAGACGGAUUCAAAGUAAACUUACAUUGUAAAACCUCUUGACAGUCAGAUUUCUAACUCUGCC